UUCAAGACCCAUAAGUGAAAUCUAAGUCUUCGAUGGCUUCUACUCUAACACAAACCACACAAACCAUAAAUAGUUUCCACCUCUUCAUUCUAUAUAAGCAUACGAAUGAGUCAUACUGAUCAUCAUUCAUUAGUAAAUUAAGAUACAAUACUAAGAUGGCAUCUUCUAAAGUAUCUUCCAUGCUUCUCUUUCUCCUCCUUCUCGUUCUUGUGUUUCCCCAUAUGGAUAAAGCCCUUGGUGAAAAAAGACAGCUCCACGAACUUAAAGGCACAGAGCAUCCCGAUCAACUGAUGACGGUUGGAAGGAGCCUUCUCUUUCGCAUCCCUCCAUGCCCACCGUCCUUAUGUAAGCCUCGUCCGAUAAGAAUUCCUCCCCGACUUCGUACACCUCCACCCCCUCCACGGCAUUGAAGGUUUCCAAAAGGCAAAAACACAUGGAUACCAAAAUAUUUGGAUGAAAAUAUAUUUUCGUAAUUCCUCACUAUAAAUGUAAUUCUGAAAUUUUCUUUCAAAAUAAAGAGAUCAUGCCACUCGGGAUGAUGGUAUGAUGAUAUGUUGUUGUAAGUUUUAAGCUAUUGUAUGAUGAUAUAUUUGUUGAUAUUAUUCAACGUAAAUAAAUAUAGUUUAUGGAUUUGUGUCGAUAGAGAAAGUGGCAAAAAAGAAAAAUUUUAAAGAAAGAAAUGAGAAGAUGUUUGAUACGACAUUCUAUAUUAUAUAAAUGAUAUUUUCAAGUCACUUAAAAUAUGUUUUCUCUCUGAGCGACAAUAAAAGCGACUCUUUAUAUUGACGGUUAUCUAAAUUUUUUUCACCGUUACCGGCUGCGUAGGCCGCCGGAUUUCACUAUUUUCCUGCUUAUUUUACUUUCUACUUUCAAUUUGGCUAGUAUAUGAUGUCUUCUUCAUUACUCCCUCCAUUUCUGAAUAAGUGUCGUUGUAGAGAAUUUUUUUCGCUACAAAAUAAGUGUCGUUUUCGAUUUUCAAUGCAAAAUUUAUUAGUUUUAUUCAGUAAUCUAUUUUUCUAUUGGUUGAAACAUGGUUAGGUGUAUUGGUAAUUAUGGUUUUAUAUAGGAAAUGUACAAAAUUAAUUGUUUCCUUAGUCCGUUUGCGCAGACCCAAAACGACACUUAAUAUGAAACAGAGGGAUAUGUUGGGUGAACUGGAGUUUUCAUCAUCUUCAUCUUCCGUUUUCUGAUGAAAAUCGAGGGCUGUCACUAUCUCCAUUAGUGAUAGAUCUUGCUCGAUCCUUUAUUCGGUUAUUGGCGUUAUUCCUCGUCGUAUUUGGCGUGUGUGUUUUCCCUUUAAUAGGGUGGGUGUAUGAAUCUGGUCUCCUCCGUCAUGAAGAUCAAACUACCCAUUUGGUUUAAAGGCCUUGACAGACGACGUGUCUUGACUUUGCCGAGAUCGUGUCCUUGUUAAACAUAGGCGAGUUUUGAGCAUCUUACAAACACAUCGUUUAUGAUAUUGCUAAAGUUUAAGCCAAAGCAAAAGCUUAUUAUUACCAAAAAAGGAGUGUUAAUCUUUAACGUCUAAUUUUACGAACUCAGUAGUAUUAUAUAGUCAAGCAAAUUAAUUUGGGUUAUUCACUAGUCAAUUAAAAAUCUAAGAUAUUGAAAUUCUAAUUUAAUAAUUUAUCUAUAAUAUAUAUGAGUGAAAUGAAAUAUGAUAAAAUCCUGGAAUAAUAUCUAUAAUUUAUCUAUAGUAUCUGCUCCACUAAAAUAAAAUGAUAAUAUCCUGCCAUCCUGGAAAUUGAGUGAUGCUAAUAUAAUAGAAUAAACUUUGCCUAAAACUACCAAAACUUCAAGACCCAUAAGUGAAAUCUAAGUCUUCGAUGGCUUCUACUCUAACACAAACCACACAAACCAUAAAUAGUUUCCACCUCUUCAUUCUAUAUAAGCAUACGAAUGAGUCAUACUGAUCAUCAUUCAUUAGUAAAUUAAGAUACAAUACUAAGAUGGCAUCUUCUAAAGUAUCUUCCAUGCUUCUCUUUCUCCUCCUUCUCGUUCUUGUGUUUCCCCAUAUGGAUAAAGCCCUUGGUGAAGAAAGACAGCUCCACGAACUUAAAGGCACAGAGCAUCCCGAUCAACUGAUGACGGUUGGAAGGAGCCUUCUCUUUCGCAUCCCUCCAUGCCCACCGUCCUUAUGUAAGCCUCGUCCGAUAAGAAUUCCUCCCCGACUUCGUACACCUCCACCCCCUCCACGGCAUUGAAGGUUUCCAAAAGGCAAAAACACAUGGAUCCCAAAAUAUUUGGAUGAAAAUAUAUUUUCGUAAUUCCUCACUAUAAAUGUAAUUCUGAAAUUUUCUUUCAAAAUAAAGAGAUCAUGCCACUCGGGAUGAUGGUAUGAUGAUAUGUUGUUGUAAGUUUUAAGCUAUUGUAUGAUGAUAUAUUUGUUGAUA